rnacentral:rRNA from 1 species
AUCGCAGAUCAGAAUGCUGCGGUGAAUACGUUCCCGGGUCUUGUACACACCGCCCGUCACACCAUGGGAGCCAGAAAUGCCCGAAGUCAGUGGCCCAACCGCAAGGAGGGAGCUGCCGAAGGCAGGUCCGGUGACUGGGGUGAAGUCGUAACAAGGUAUC